UAGUAGUACCGUACCAACAUUGCUUUAUACAAAAUUCCCUCACGGUCCCCGACCUCUAAACCGAUGAGAUGAAGUUUUGGUUCCAAGAACAUGGAGGAGGAGCUCCUCAAUAACAUCUAUGGCGAUACUGAGCCGUUUCCCGCCGCCUUCGACUAUGGCUUUGGUGGUGGGUGUCUCCGCCGCCGAGGUUGGAAUGCAUGGCUUUUGAAGGAAUAGGCAGACCAGACUAAGGAGACAUUUAAGCAGGUACGGUACUCUCUUUUGGACAAUUUGUGAUGCUUCAGAGGUUUAAGCAGGUACGGUACUCUCUGUUGGUCAAUUUGUGUUACUUCAUUCUCCAUACAUUGAAUUUUCUAUGAUAAAAUUAAGAAUUGAUUUUCAUUUUUUUUCCGGUUUUUUUUUUUUUUUUUUUUUUUUUUUUUUCUCCCACCUAAUGUUAACUGUCCAUUUCUAAUUAUUUUACACGGAUCAUGACGAUGCCCAUUUAAACUAGCACUUUAUGUGACAGCAGAAGGGUGCAUUCCUAGCUUAAUUUAUUGUGUUUCCUUAUUGCGAGUACAUUUUACAUGUAAUUGGGAGGGUUUGUAAUUAAUGGAUUGAUAAAUUUUCUAACUAUAUGCAAGCUUGGUUAAGAAAAUUGAACAACUAUUGCUCUCACUAAAUGGAUAUGAUGGCUCCAUUUUUAUUAUGUAAUCAAAGGAUUCUUCGGAGGAAAAUAACUUAUGCUUGUUGAUCGUAGAUGUGUGCAUGAAUAAACCUAGAAAAAUUAGUUUGUUAUGUCUAUAAUGAUUAUAGUUAUCGGGUUUGGAUUUUCUUACAGUUUAAUAAUGUUUAAACCACUAUUCACCCCCCAUUGUAUUGUAAAAUUCAUUGUAGUACAUCAUAUUGAUUGCAUUGCUUGCAGAUAGUUUUCCAAAUGGUCAAUAUACUAAUGAAAUAAAAGGAAUAAUUCAAAGUUCUUCAUUUUGGAUGCACUUAUUUCCUUGCACAAAUUACUUGGUACUCUGUAGUUAUUGUUAUUGGUGACUUUACAUAGAUAUAUUGGUUUAUUGAUAAUAAAGUAAAAAUUGCCUCAUUGCAAUAUAAAUAUGUUAUCUCUAUGUUUUUUAUUGUCUUUGGUAUGUUCUGGGUCUUUCCAGAAACCACGAUUGAUAUGUUAGAGGCUUGGAAAGGGUGUAUACUAGAAAGCUGAGUUAGAGAUGCUUGGAGGGCCACUCCCCUUUGUAUUUGGCGGGGGUUUGUAGUGCGAGAGGAAUAGGAGAUCUUUUGAGGGAGAGGAGUCUCCCAUUUGGUCACUUAAAUACAAUAUUUUAUCUUCUUUAUUCUUUUGGGUAAAUGGGCGGGAUUGUACCUCUAUGGAACAUCUUUUGGAUUUUGUGAAUAGUUUAAGGUUAUAGUCAGGGGCGGAGCCAGAAAGUUAAGGUGGGAGGGGCAGGGGUGAAGUGAGGAUUUGAACUAUGUAACAAAAAUAAAGCAAAUUUAUUGUAAUAUAAUUUUUUUUUUUUAAAAAUACUAGUCAUAGUAUAUAUACCUUGAGAAAAUUAAAAAAUGAGAAAAAUACAACUUAGACCAAAAAAAAUAAAAAUGAUGUUAGAAAGAAAAUUAUGGAGAAGAAACGUAAAGAAAUAAGCAUUGUUAGAAAAUCAAUUUUCCUUAUUGUUUCAGUUUUUUAAAAAUCUAAUUUUUCGAAGAAGAAAAUUAAGUACUUUGAUUCCACUUGGGAAGGAUAUACAUAGAUAAAAGAUUAGAAAAACAUAAUGAUUUUUAACUCAAAAAAAUUAUUUUAAAUUCAACAAGAUUAUUAUUGAGUUAUUAACCAAGAUACAAAUAGUUAUAAAAUUUGUUAGGGUUAAGUGCAAAAAACCCACUCGUUAUAUACAAAAAGUGCAAGAAACAUACCUAUUAGAUAAUAAGUGCAUAUAAAUCCCUAUAUUUUCAAACUUUGGAGCAAAUUGCCCCCUAUUUGUUAAUUUUGACCAAUUUUUAUACAAAAAUCCUAAAAUGCCCUUGUUACUAAUGUCAGCAAAAAAAAUAUAAUUAAAUAUGCCACAGGCCUCAAUUUACUCUCUCUCUUUGUAAUAUAUAUAUAUCACCUUCAUCCCUCUCCCUAAUUCUCCACCUACUGCCGCCACCUCCCCCACCACUUCAACCACCACCACGAACAUAAUCCCAUGAACACAACCGAACCCUCCACCACCCACUGCCCAUUGUUACUCCUUUGAGACAUCUUUGUGGUGAGUUUGGCCACGACCUUUGCUAUCCUCUGUUAAACCUUCUUGAUUCCAUAUAUUAUGCAAAUAUAAAGGGAAAGCUCCGGGAAAGCAUCUACAAAAAUCACUGUAUCCAUUCAAAAUUUAUAAUUAACAUAUCUCAUUUUCCUUCCAAACAAACACUUUCUUAACACAAAUUCAUCCACCAAUGGUUUCUUUCCUUCAUAUUCAUCUAUUCUGUUUACUCAUCUUCAUAUUCUUCUUCUUCCCUCACAUAUUUUCAUCUAGACACUUCAGCUCUCAAGUAUCUUACCCAAGAAACAUUCUUCCAAGCUCACUGACUCUCUGAAGCUCAAAUUACUGGCAUUAGUUCAAAUAUCUGAUAUGGGUUUAGUUGAAUUUAGUUGAAUUGCUUGUUAUUAUUCUCAAUUUUUUGCUUUAAAUUUUGUACUUUGCAUCAUCGAUAUAUAUUGACGGCAACUCUCAUCUCCAUUUCGUUAUCAUCAAUACACCACCACCCACCUCGCUACCUCCAUUGCCGCCACCGUCACACCAUCACCACUACUUUUAUCUAACACCCAAAUAGGGCCAAAUACCCAUCAAAAUCAAUCAAUCGAUCAACACACUAAAAGAAAGAAAUUGCGAACCAAGAAGCUGCGAUUGUGAACAGAAAUUGAGAUAUGGAGGUUAAUUGUGGACAUGGCGGAAUCUGGGGUGGUCGUGAAGGAUAUGGUGGUGGUGAGAGAUGAGAUUGAAUAGAAAUUAUGUUGGUCAUGGGGGUUACAGUGAUGGCUAUGGCUGUAAUUGUGAAAUUGAGGUCUAGGAAAGCUCUGUAACAAUGGCGUAGUACUCGAUUUUGGUGGUUGAGGCAUCCAAAGGUGAUGAAGCCACCAGAUGGAGUUGCAAUUGCGAACCAAGAAGCUGCGAUUGCGAACGGAAAGUGAGAACCUAGGUCAACCAACGGGCGGCGAUGGAGUGGCGAUUGAAUAUAUGGUAGAAGGAUGCAUGGGAUGAUGUAGAAGGAGCAACAAAGAAGAUGCGGUGGUCACGAUUUUGAGGCUGGUGGAGGCGGUGGUUGGCGUUUCUGAUGGUGGCAGUGAAGGAGACGGUUGACAGUGGUCGUUCUGUAUAAAGAGAAGUAAAAGAUAAAAUGGGGGACACACACACACACACACACACACACACACUGUACACAAUUAUUUUUUAUAUACUUUAUCAAUUUUUUUAUAUUAUUUUAUUGUAAGGCUACAUUAGUCCAUUCAUAGUUGAAUUUGCUCAAAGUCCUUAUGUGCACAAAUUAAAAAAUGCAAGGGUGUUUAUUGAACAAUAUGGGGUUAAUUGCACAUUUUGCAUAUAAUAGAAAGUCUCACCAUACUUUAGUUUAUCUUGUUUCCAAAUAUUCCUAGGACUUACCAAUAAAUAUUUUUGUAUAAAUUUAGAUAUUUUUCCUGUAAAUACUAUUUUACAAAAAUGUUUGACAAAAAAUGCUUCAUGCAUUUUUACUAAACAUGAGGGAAUAUUAGUUAUUUUAUUCCUUUUUUUCUCUAUUUAAUUAAUAUUAUAGAUAUUGUACUUGUUUAUAUAAAUAAAAUAACAAUGUGUUGCGAUAACGACUAUAAUAAUUAUUUACAAAAAAAAUAAAAAUAGAAAUGACUAUAAUAAUAAUGAGCUUAAAUUUUUCUUUCAUAAUAUUUGAGCUUUUAGAAGUAUAGUUAAAAGAGUUGCAAGUUGAAAUUUUUUUAAAUUUGAAGGAGACACAAAGUAAAUUUAUUUUCAAACUCUUUAUUUUGGGUCAAUAUAUGUGUUUUUUUUAAAAAUUGGGAAAAAAACUUGGAUGGUCAAUAUAUGUGUUAAAAAUAUUGGGGGGCCAAUUAAAUUUUUUAAUAGAUUUAGGGACAAAAUUUAGAAAUUAAUUAAUAUUUAGGGAUAGUAAAAAAAAAAAUUAAAAAGUUUUGGGGAAUCAUGGCCCCCCCCCCCCCCCCCCCAAACAACCACAGCUCCGCCCCUGGUUAUAAUGCUGCUGUGUUUGGCUUCUGUUUUCUUUGGGAGCGCUCCCCUUUUGGGCGCCUUUUAUGAAAUCUUUACUUAUCAAAAAAAAAAAAAAACAAAAAAAAAUUUACUUCUGUGCAGCACGUGUUAAUCCACUGUAGUUUUACUUAGAAUCUAUUUGAGUAUGGAUUAUGUUUAUAACCCUCAAUUUUUUGGGAGUCAAGAAUGUCACUUCAUGUUUUUUGUUUGUUCCCUGAUUUAAGGCAAGGGACAAUAGGAAGUUUAGUUGCAUGAUGCCAAAGUUGUCUUUAGUUCUAUUUAUUUAUUUAUUUUAUCUUUCAUUUUUUUUUACACUUCGUUUUUAUACUGUCUUUCCUUCUUGAUGGUUACAAGCCAGGUUCAAUUGCUUCACUGUUGUUUUAGACAAAUAAGACACCUUAUGAACUUUGGUUUAAUAAAAAGCUAAUCUUAAUUUUCUAAGAACCUAUGGUAGUACAUAUUAUAUAUUAGGAGAUAGAGAAAAUGCUUCUUGGGGUUUUCGUUGUGAUGUUGGUGGUCAGGUGGGUAUUAUGGAAGAUGAGUUUUGGGGUUUCUUGUGUGCUACACUUGGUUUUUAUACUGUCUUUCCUUCUUGAUGGUUACAAGCCAGGUUCAACUGCUUCACUGUUGUUUUACACAAAUAAGACACCUUAUGAACUUUGGUUUAAUAAAAAAGCUAAUCUUAAUUUUCUAAGAACCCAUGGUAAUAUAUAUUAUAUAUUAGGAGAUAGAGAAAAUGCUUCUUGGGGCUUUCGUUGUGAUGUUGUUGGUGGUCAGGUGGGUAUUAUGGAAGAUGAGUUUUGGGGUUUCUUGUGUGCUACUGGAAGAUGAGUUUUGGGGUUGCAUGGCAAUGUUGAGGUUACGGAACUGGCGUCAAGGCAUUGUUUUGACUCGGACCCACAGAAUUCUGGCUACUAUAUAUUGCUAUCAAAUAAAUGUCCAUUCUAAUGUUGGUAAAUGGGAAUAAAACUAGAAUAGAUAUAUUUUGUUUCCUUCUCACGCGAGCCCACAUCCUUGCUUCUCUAUCUACCUCUAAUUACUCCAGUGUACUUUGAUUGAUACAUCAUAAAGACAUUAGAAGAUUGCGUAAUUUUAUUAGUUUGCAUUAGAUUUGAAAAAUCUCCAUAGCCUAGAGGAUACAUUAUUAUGCCAAAAAUCAUUUAAGAUUUUGUUGAUUCAUGUACAACAAUGACUCUUUCAGUGUUGGAUAUAUCAGUACAAGUUCAAAAACCUAGAGUUAUUUAUGAAGAAUAAGAUGGCAGCUCAAAUAUAGGUUUUGUAAUCAAUGAUGUGGUUGUGGAACAUUCUUCUACUGCCUGGGUAGCAUGGGAUUCUUUUUCCUGUGAUUAUAAUGAGGGGGACCUUGGCCUACAGAACAUCCUUGUACAAUGCUCAAGGCUGAGUAGAAGGAGCAACUUUUAAUAUAUUAUGUGUCCAAAUGAUAGAUUGUUACGAAUCUAUUUGAAUAUGGGUUAUGUUUAUAGUCCCUCAAGUUCAUGGAUGGGAGUCAAGACUCAAGAGCAUGGCUAGAUAUUUUUGGUUUGUCCCCUGCUUUGAGGUACAGUCUAGAUUCCUAACAAUUCCGGACAAUAGGAGGUUUAGUUGCAUGGUUCCAAAAAUUAUCCCCAUUUCUACUUUUGUUCAUAUUCUUCUACUCAAUUUUCUUUUACGCCUCCUAAAAUACUUCCAGUAGAAGACAUUCAAUUAUUUGUGGGGAAUUUUUAUGUGAAUAAGUUUGUUUUUUAAAAAAAAAAAAAAAAUUAAUUUUUUGUCUUUUAACUCAGUUCUACUCAACAUUACAGACAUAUAAUCCCAACAACUUCGAAUAGGAUUAAACAAAUUGUCUCCGUUUAUCUAUAGAUAAUGAAUCACAUGGGAGAGAGCUGCCCAACUCAAGUAUUGAACUCAACAAAGCUUUUUCUCCAACUACUUUGAGAACACCUCACAUUAUUUAGUAACUGCUAGUGAUGAAAACUAUUUUCUUUUUUCAAUCUUUCGAUCAUCUAAACUUCUCUCUCUGGUCACCUAGAUCAUAUUUUCUUGAUUUAGGAUAGAGUAAUGCUAUUAAGGGAGGCUCUCUUGGGUGUAUUGACGAGCUCUCCUUUUACGCAAUUAGAUUAGGAAAGUUUAGAGAUAUGUACCAGGUGAAAAAGCGGACUUUUAAGGAGAUCGAAAAUGGCAUUUCCUUAAAAAUAGAAAAAAAGAAAAAAAGGAAACACAGAACCAAUAACGCGAAUUUUCUCUCCUCUCUGUGUCUCUUGAUCUCUCGCUCCCCUGGCUCUCCAAAUCUAUGCAUGGGGAAUAUGUACGACUCAUCUUUGGGAUAUUGCGCGAUUUUUUAUUCAUGAUGGCAGAUUCAGGUCUUUUUUGUCUCUAACCUCUAUUUUCAAAUCUGUUCAUUUAUUUAUUUUUUAAUACAUUGAGGUGGUGCAAAUUGGAGCAGAUCUUCUGGGGUUAUAGUUUCAAAUCAACCAAAAGAUAAAAAGAAUAGUAGUAUCAGAAAAAUAAGAGGAUUAAAUGUUUGGAUAAAAAUAAAAAUGUAAAAGGUUAUUGACAGAAAGGGAUUAAGAGGAAAACAAUAAAACAAUAGUGAUUUUAUUUUAUUUUAUAUAUAUAUAUAUAUAUAUAUAUAUAUAUAUAUAUA